UGACGUUAAUGUACCAAAGGGCAAUUAGGCAUCAGUGUUUGACGUAUCAUGUCCUUCAUUCAUUGCUUACGUUUUUUGUGAUUAUAGAUUAAACUCUAAACUAUCUAGACAAUCGAGAUAGGACUUAUGCCAUUGUGCUAUAACACAUAUAGGCUACAAUGUGCAGAAACUAGAACACUAAUGGGCCAUGAUAUUACAAAUUACUAAAGCUUUAUACAGCCGCUAAAUUCCAAGACUAACCACCACUCACCUACCC
rnacentral:lncRNA from 1 species